rnacentral:lncRNA from 1 species
ACGACUGAAAAGGGAGAGAAGCUCAGGCAGCAUCUUGCAGCUCCUCUGCAGUGUCUUCCAGAAGAUGCACCACCCCCUGCCCUGGCUCUAGACAUCCAGAGACCACGUUGGAGCCGUGCUGCAGACUCUCAGACCAGAGUUUCCACUCCAGAACUCUCGCCUGACCUCUGGUCCUGUACCUCCAGCAGCUUGUGGAAUCUCAGACUCAAAUACCAACUCAUCACAGGGUGCAGAAUGUCGAAGAAACUCAGGGCCCACCCCAACCACCUGACGAUGACACUCACAAUCAAAACCACGUACAUGGCUUCUACCACACACGCGCGCAGCCCUUGAGCUGAGGGUGUUACACACAGUACUGCAUUCCAUCUUCACGGACACUGUGAGAAAGAAAAUUUCCAAGUCAUCUGCCUUUGAAAUUAAAUAGAAAGUAUGAAAUGAACUCAGUACCUUGCUGUGUGACCUCAGGUUCCUGAUACCUCACCCACUCUCCCUAUCUUGGGAGAGGGAAAAAGUAGUCACUGACAUGUUAGUAUAAAAAUAUUUCCCUCAGAGGCCAGCCCCGUGGCCGAGCGGUUAAGUUCGCACGCUCCGCUUCGGUGGCCCAGGGUUUCGCCGGUUCGGAUCCUGGGCACAGACAUGGCACCGCUCGUCAGGCCAUGCUGAAGCGGCAUCCCACAUGCCACAACUAGAAGGACCCACAACUAAAAAUAUGCAACUAUGUACUGGGGGGCUUUGGGGAGAAAAAGGAAAAAUAAAAUUUUUUAAAAAAU